AACGAACGCUGGCGGCAUGCCUAACACAUGCAAGUCGAACGAGACCUUCGGGUCUAGUGGCGCACGGGUGCGUAACGCGUGGGAAUCUGCCCUUUGCUUCGGAAUAACACAGAGAAAUUUGUGCUAAUACCGGAUAAUGUCGUAAGACCAAAGAUUUAUCGGCAAAGGAUGAGCCCGCGUAAGAUUAGCUAGUUGGUGGGGUAAUGGCCUACCAAGGCGACGAUCUUUAGCUGGUCUGAGAGGAUGAUCAGCCACACUGGGACUGAGACACGGCCCAGACUCCUACGGGAGGCAGCAGUAGGGAAUAUUGGACAAUGGGGGCAACCCUGAUCCAGCAAUGCCGCGUGAGUGAUGAAGGCCUUAGGGUUGUAAAGCUCUUUUACCCGGGAUGAUAAUGACAGUACCGGGAGAAUAAGCCCCGGCUAACUCCGUGCCAGCAGCCGCGGUAA
rnacentral:rRNA from 1 species